AGAGUUCGAUCAUGGCUCAGGAUGAACGCUGGCGGCGUGCCUAACACAUGCAAGUCGAACGGAGUUGUUUGAGGAAAUCCUUCGGGAUGGAAUCUUCCAACUUAGUGGCGGACGGGUGAGUAACGCGUGAGCAAUCUGCCUUUCAGAGGGGGAUAACAGCCGGAAACGGCUGCUAAUACCGCAUAAUGCAUCGAAUUCGCAUGUUUUUGAUGCCAAAGAUUUUAUCGCUGAAAGAUGAGCUCGCGUCUGAUUAGCUAGUUGGCGGGGUAACGGCCCACCAAGGCGACGAUCAGUAGCCGGACUGAGAGGUUGAACGGCCACAUUGGGACUGAGACACGGCCCAG
rnacentral:rRNA from 1 species